CACCGGCUCUAACACAGUCCGGGAAUGACGGUACCUGAAGAAUAAGCACCGGCUAACUACCUGCCAGCAGCCGCGGUAAUACGUAGGGUGCAAGCGUUAAUCGGAAUUACUGGGCGUAAAGCGUGCGCAGGCGGUUAUACAAAACAGGCGUGAAAUCCCCGGGCUUAACCUGGGAAUGGCGCCUGUGACUGUAUAGCUAGAGUGUGUCAAAGGGGGGUAGAAUUCCACGUGUAGCAGUGAAAUGCGUAAAUAUGUGGAGGAAUACCAAUGGCGAAGGCAGCCCCCUGGGAUAACACUGACGCUCAUGCACGAAAGCGUGGGGAGCAAACAGGAUUA
rnacentral:rRNA from 1 species